GUGUUGUAUGAAAGAGAGAAGGUUAGCACUCCCCUUGACAAGGACGGUAGAGGCUCUCAGACCUGACAACAUGCAUACAGUGGUUAAGGUAUUGCCACCUACUCCAUAGCAUCUAACUAUCAUUUUUC
rnacentral:ncRNA from 1 species